AAUUAUUUGUAUGUUGGUCUUGGUCUCAGUUAUGUUACCUUCUUUUUUUUUUCGCCUUUUAAGAGGUGGGGAGGCAAGUGGUGGCGGGUUGUCGCAAUCCACCAGUGUGGGGAUGGCAUCUCUGUUGGAUCUUGAUGCUGUGACAACGGACAAGUCUUCUUCCUCUUUUAUUAUAUUGUUGUUCCUCUGUCCUUUUUUCCCUGCCUAUGUUCAGUGUUGUUAAAUCAUUUCUCUUUUUUUUUAAUUAUUUACUAUGUUACUGUUCUUAUUGUGUUCUUGUGUGAUGUUUGAAUAAACUUGCCUGUUGCAAUGUU